rnacentral:rRNA from 1 species
AGCGAACGCUGGCGGCAGGCCUAACACAUGCAAGUCGAGCGCCCAGCAAUGGGAGCGGCAGACGGGAGAGUAACACGUGGGAACAUGCCCUUCAGUUCGGAACAACCAAGGGAAACUUUGGCUAAUACCGGAUACGCCCUUACGGGGAAAGAUUAUCGCUGAAGGAUUGGCCCGCGUCUGAUUAGCUUGUUGGUGAGGUAACGGCUCACCAAGGCUACGAUCAGUAGCNGGUCUGAGAGGAUGAUCAGCCUCACUGGGACUGAGACACGGCCCAGACUCCUACGGGAGGCAGCAGUGGGGAAUAUUGGACAAUGGGCGCAAGCCUGAUCCAGCCAUGCCGCGUGGAUGAUGAA